AAUGCAUGCAAGUCGAGGGAGAACCAGUUGAUUCGUAAGAUUCGGCUGGGGAAACCGGCGAACGGGUGCGUAACACGUGAGGCACCUGCCCCGAAGACCGGGAUAGCCCGAGGAAACUCGGAUUAAUACCGGAUACCCUCUUUGGACCACAUGGUCGAUUGAGGAAACGGUCCGCCGCUUCGGGAUGGCCUCGCGGCCUAUCAGCUUGUUGGUGAGGUAAUGGCUCACCAAGGCCGAGACGGGUAGCUGGUCUGAGAGGACGAUCAGCCACACUGGGACUGAGACACGGCCCAGACUCCUACGGGAGGCAGCAGCAGGGAAUAUUGCACAAUGGGCGAAAGCCUGAUGCAGCGACACCGCGUGCGGGAUGAAGGCCUUCGGGUUGUAAACCGCUUUCAGGAGGGACGAAAAUGACGGUACCUCCAGAAGAAGGCCCGGCCAACUACGUGCCAGCAGCCGCGGUAAUACGUAGGGGCCAAACGUUGUCCGGAUUUAUUGGGCGUAAAGGGCUCGUAGGCGGUUCAAAAAGUCGGUCGUGAAAGCCCGGGGCUCAACCCCGGGACGCCGGUCGAAACUGUUGUGACUAGGGUCCGGUAGAGGUGAGUGGAAUUCUCGGUGUAGCGGUGGAAUGCGCAGAUAUCGAGAGGGACACCAGUUGCGAAGGCGGCUCACUGGGCCGGUACCGACGCUGAGGAGCGAAAGCAUGGGGGAGCNAACAGGAUUAGAUACCCUGGUA
rnacentral:rRNA from 1 species